UGGGGAAUUUUGGACAAUGGGCGAAAGCCUGAUCCAGCAAUGCCGCGUGUGUGAAGAAGGCCUUCGGGUUGUAAAGCACUUUUGUCCGGAAAGAAAUGGCUCUGGUUAAUACCUGGGGUCGAUGACGGUACCGGAAGAAUAAGGACCGGCUAACUACGUGCCAGCAGCCGCGGUAAUACGUAGGGUCCAAGCGUUAAUCGGAAUUACUGGGAGUAAAGCGUGCGCAGGCGGUUGUUCAAGACCGAUGUGAAAUCCCCGAGCUUAACUUGGGAAUUGCCUUGUUGACUGCACGGCUAGUGUGUGUCAGAGGGGGGUAGAAGUCCACGUGUAGCAGUGACAUGCGUAGAGGUGUGGAGGAAUACCGAUGGCGAAGGCAGCCCCCUGGGAUAACACUGACGCUCAUGCACGAAAGCGUGGGGAGCAAACAGG
rnacentral:rRNA from 1 species